UACGUAGGUGGCAAGCGUUGUCCGGAAUUAUUGGGCGUAAAGCGCGCGCAGGCGGUCCUUUAAGUCUGAUGUGAAAGCCCACGGCUCAACCGUGGAGGGUCAUUGGAAACUGGGGGACUUGAGUGCAGAAGAGGAAAGCGGAAUUCCACGUGUAGCGGUGAAAUGCGUAGAGAUGUGGAGGAACACCAGUGGCGAAGGCGGCUUUCUGGUCUGUAACUGACGCUGAGGCGCGAAAAGCGUUGGGGAGCAAACAGG
rnacentral:rRNA from 1 species